UAGUAACAAUAAAAAUUCCGGAGACACCUGUAAAGAUAGGAGAAACUGAGGGGCCAAAAUGGACCCUGGGUGACAUUGGUGACCCACCUGGAAGCAGGCAUUGGUUAACCAAGAGAACAGAUGGCCUGGCAAUACAAAUUUUGAAUGAAUGAAUGAGUACAAAUUUGAAAGGAAUGCCCAGUGCUGAGUUGCGUGAAGGGGAGCGUGCUCCAGAGAGGCCUUGAGGAAGAUCAUCUUGACAUUUUUCUCACCAAUGGUCAAACCCCCCUGGUGUUUAAUUCAGCCUCGUGUUUCAUUCAGCGUUGAGCUCUGAAAGUCUAUUGUGUGUAAGACACAGUCCCUACCUGUCAGUCUCCUUUAUUCAUUUCAACAAUACAGAUUCCAGAGGUUAGAAAAUAUGAUCACCGAAGAAAAGCUUAUAUUACCUGUAAUUUGGCUGCAGAAGGGAAGACUGGAGAGAAAUUAAGAGUUUUCUUCUUUAGUUUAUUAGUGUAUUCUCCAUCCUCGAGGUCAGAUGUGCCUUCAUAUUAGAGGGUAAGAGUAGAUUAAAAGGACUUCUAACAGUCUUAUAUCUGUUACAAAAUGUUCCUAGCAAUAAAUAUUUGCAAAGAGUAAAUAAUUAAUACAGUUUCAAGCCAAGAUUAAUUUUCUUCAAUCUGAAAUGGUUUAAGUUAACUUCUAUAGUGUGUCAGGUCAAUGGUCUCAGGGGUAUCUUUAGGGCUUUUCCAUACUUCUGAUUCCAGGCUCAAAAUAAGUAACAAAAAUUAGUUUAGCCAAAUCUUAAUUAUCCAUGGGGGGAGGAAAAGUUGAAUGUGUGACAGACUAAGCAAUAAAUGGCUGCGUUUUUUACUAGUG
rnacentral:lncRNA from 1 species